rfam:Picea glauca, whole genome shotgun sequence.
AUGUAAUGUAAAUCCUACAAUGUUAAUCCAUUAAAUCCCAUUAUAACUGCACAUUUAAGUGUGCUUGGGCUAUAUUAGUAUUGGGAUGCGUGACCUCCCGAGAAUUUCUAGUGUUUUACAUG